CCUACGGGGGGCAGCAGUGAGGAAUAUUGGUCAAUGGACGAGAGUCUGAACCAGCCAAGUAGCGUGAAGGAUGACUGCCCUAUGGGUUGUAAACUUCUUUUAUAUGGGAAUAAAAUGUUCCACGUGUGGGAUUUUGUAUGUACCAUAUGAAUAAGGAUCGGCUAACUCCGUGCCAGCAGCCGCGGUAAUACGGAGGAUCCGAGCGUUAUCCGGAUUUAUUGGGUUUAAAGGGAGCGUAGGUGGAUUGUCAAGUCAGUUGUGAAAGUUUGCGGCUCAACCGUAAAAUUGCAGUUGAAACUGGCAGUCUUGAGUACAGUAGAGGUGGGCGGAAUUCGUGGUGUAGCGGUGAAAUGCUUAGAUAUCACGAAGAACUCCGAUUGCGAAGGCAGUUCACUGGACUGCAACUGACACUGAGGCUCGAAAGUGUGGGUAUCAAACAGGAUUAGAUACCCUUGUAGUC
rnacentral:rRNA from 1 species